rnacentral:tRNA from 5 species
UCCGUCGAUUUUAAAAAUCAUGAGGGUUCAAGUCCCUCUAUCCCCAAAAA